rnacentral:SRP_RNA from 1 species
GGUCGGGCCCGGUGCACGGGGGGCCCGUGAACCUGGUCAGGGCUUGACCGCAGCAGCCAUAAGCGGCGUCAACCGGGGCAGCGGUGUCCUGGCCGCC